UACGGGGGGGGCAAGCGUUGUUCGGAAUUACUGGGCGUAAAGGGCUCGUAGGCGGCCAACUAAGUCAGACGUGAAAUCCCUCGGCUUAACCGGAGAACUGCGUCUGAUACUGGAUGGCUUGAGUUUGGGAGAGGGAUGCGGAAUUCCAGGUGUAGCGGUGAAAUGCGUAGAUAUCUGGAGGAACACCGGUGGCGAAGGCGGCAUCCUGGACCAACACUGACGCUGAGUGAGCGAAAGCCAGGGGAGCAAACGGG
rnacentral:rRNA from 1 species